rnacentral:rRNA from 1 species
GACGAACGCUGGCGGCGUGCUUAACACAUGCAAGUCACGGGGGCCCGCAAGGGCAACCGGCGAACGGGUGCGUAACACGUGAGCAACCUGCCUUUGUGUGGGGGAUAGCCGGGCUAACGCCCGGGUAAUACCGCAUACGGUCGCUGGGGGGAGUCCCUUGGCGAAGAAACCUCCGGGGCACAGAGAGGGGCUCGCGGCCUAUCAGCUAGUUGGCGGGGUAAUGGCCCACCAAGGCGACGACGGGUAGCUGGCUGAGAGGAUGGCCAGCCACAUUGGGACUGAGAGACGGCCCAGACUCCUACGGGAGGCAGCAGUGGGGAAUCUUGCGCAAUGGCCGCAAGGCUGACGCAGCGACGCCGCGUGUGGGAGGACGCC